UACGAAGGGGGCUAGCGUUGUUCGGAAUUACUGGGCGUAAAGCGCACGUAGGCGGACUUGUCAGUCGGGGGUGAAAUCCCGAGGCUUAACCUCGGAACUGCCUUUGAUACUGCAAGUCUUGAGGAUGAGAGAGGUAAGUGGAACUGCGAGUGUAGAGGUGAAAUUCGUAGAUAUUCGCAGGAACACCAGUGGCGAAGGCGGCUUACUGGUCCAUUACUGACGCUGAGGUGCGAAAGCGUGGGGAGCAAACAGG
rnacentral:rRNA from 1 species